AUUCUGCCCAUGCGGGGAAGGAUGAGAAGCUUCGACCAAGGUUCGACUCGAGCGCCAGCGAGAGAGCGUUGCCGCAGGCAACGACCCGAAGGUCGAAGCGCGCAGCGCUGAGUAAUCCUUCCCCCACCACCA
rnacentral:sRNA from 1 species